GACAGAGGGUGCAAACGUUGUUCGGAAUUACUGGGCGUAAAGCGCACGUAGGCGGAUUUGUAAGUCAGGGGUGAAAUCCCGGGGCUCAACCUCGGAACUGCCUUUGAUACUGCAAAUCUCGAGUCCGGAAGAGGUGAGUGGAAUUCCUAGUGUAGAGGUGAAAUUCGUAGAUAUUAGGAAGAACACCAGUGGCGAAGGCGGCUCACUGGUCCGGUACUGACGCUGAGGUGCGAAAGCGUUGGGAGCAAACAGG
rnacentral:rRNA from 1 species